AGAUUGAACGCUGGCGGCAGGCCUAACACAUGCAAGUCGAGCGGCAGCACGGGUACUUGUACCUGGUGGCGAGCGGCGGACGGGUGAGUAAUGCCUAGGAAUCUGCCUGAUAGGUGGGGGAUAACGUUCGGAAACGGACGCUAAUACCGCAUACGUCCUACGGGAGAAAGUGGGGGAUCUUCGGACCUCACGCUAUCAGAUGAGCCGUAGGUCGAUUAGCUAGUUGGUAGGUAAGCCUACAGGCUACGAUCCGUAACUGGUCUGAGAGGAUGAUCAGUCACACUGAACUGAGACACGGUCAG
rnacentral:rRNA from 1 species